GCCAGCAUGGUGUAGUGGUUUGAGCAUUGGACUAUGACUCUGGAGAGCAAGGUUCAAAUCCUUGCUUGGCC